rnacentral:lncRNA from 10 species
AGUCUUAUGUUUGCAAUCCUGAGAAAGGAAGUCCUGAAAGUUCCCAGGAGCCUUAAGAGCGGUGGAUUUUCCUUCUGAUAAUGCUGCUAGGAACCAGGUCAAGCAAUAGAGACCCACGCUGGGGCCAUCAAGACUAAUAGGGGUAGCUUUUCUUCCCUCCUCCUAAGCCAAACACCUUUGAUCAGGGUGAACGGACAAUCAUCAAAAAAGUUGUCAAGGUCCUCUGGCUUGCUAACAUGCCAAGAGGCCAGGUCACCAUUGAUAGCUCCACACUUUAACCUCAGCUACAAAUGACAUGCUCUCUGGCUACUCUCCUGGCCUCUCCUAAGGAGAGAGAGCCAGGUCCAGAGAACAUCAGAAAGGAUUGCCCCAGAUACAGAAUUAAUGGCACUGCUCAAGGAAAGGAAAGAGAGGUAACUCAGAGUUUUAAAAAAGGCCUACUGGGCUGGUCCAAGUACAAUAGUGUUUACAAGUAAUUGAUCACUACCAGUUACCGAUUUCUUUGUUCCUUUUCCACUCCCACAAUUUCACUUCACUAGCCUAAAAAAAAAAAAAAAAAGAAAGAAAGAAAGAAAGAAAAAAAAGAAAAGAAAAAAAGGAAAAAAAAGAGGCCUGUUGGGAAGGCUUGGGAGGACUAGUCAGCCAUAUGUCCAGGAGAUCCAAAAGAUUCUGGCCAGCUGCCUAAUCGCACCAGCACAAUUACUGACAGAGCUACUUUCAGUUUUGUCACUGGCCUCCAUUGCACAGUCUGAGGUUCCAGCUUUAAGUAGCUUCCUGUUGUCCUGGGCACCUGAGGGUCUGUCGGAAGGCUAACAGAGGCAGGAUUAUGGAUGUGGCUGCAGACAGAAGAAUGGGGUAAUGUAAGGGAGAGAUGAGGGGAGGAGUUUAGGAUGGACCCCAGCAAUUUCUCCAUUCAAUAUCCAGCCCCACCCUGUGACUAGGAAAACAAAGGUACUGGGGGAAGGGGAGAAGAAAAGUCAUUUCCUUUAUUGUAACUGUAGCCCAGCUGGGUAAGAGCAAGGCUGGAAGGGGGCCUUGAAGAAUGAAUUUCUCUGAGUAGCACAGAGGGAGAGUCCUCCUCCCAGCAGGCCUGCACUACUCAGGUACUCUAAAUUCAUCAGAGAAACACUGGCAAGCUGGCGUGGGAGAGAUCUUACAAGACCAUUCAGGUUGAUGCCCCAUGUUCCUCAAAACCCAGGUUAUCUCUGGGGUCAGACAAAUACAAUCCUUCCUAGCCCUGAAGAUUUUCCUCCAACUGGGGCAAAAGUCAAAUUAGAUCCAAAAGACAGUCACUCUCCCCAGGGCAAAUUACCAGGCUCUAUCUGAGGGCGCCGUGACAUCCAGUUUGAAUUUACCAGGGGAAAGCUCAGAAGUCAGGAGAUGUGCUCCUUCAGCACAGCUGGAUUAGAGUCUCUGUCCUCAAGGUAAAGCUGCAACUAGGAGACAGAACCUAGAUACUCUACUUCCUCCACGGGAAUGAUAUUUGGCUUGAUUGUGUCAGGGUAGUUCAAAGUUGCCCUUAAUCCCUGGGGCUCCACAUCAGAUCACCAA